AGUGAACGCUGGCGGUAGGCCUAACACAUGCAAGUCGAACGGCAGCACAGUAAGAGCUUGCUCUUACGGGUGGCGAGUGGCGGACGGGUGAGGAAUACAUCGGAAUCUACUUUUUCGUGGGGGAUAACGUAGGGAAACUUACGCUAAUACCGCAUACGACCUACGGGUGAAAGCAGGGGAUCUUCGGACCUUGCGCGAUUGAAUGAGCCGAUGUCGGAUUAGCUAGUUGGCGGGGUAAAGGCCCACCAAGGCGACGAUCCGUAGCUGGUCUGAGAGGAUGACCGGCCACACUGAAACUGAGACACGUCCCAAACUCCAAGGGAAGGCAGCAGUGGGAAAUAUUGGACAAGGGGCGCAAGCCGGACCCAGCCAAACCGCGUGGGUGAAGAGGGCUUUGGGGUUGUAAAUCCCUUUUUCGGGGAAAAAAAGCCAGCGGUUUAUACCCCCCUGUUUUGACGGUAACCCAAAAAUAAGCCACGGCCAAAUUCGUU
rnacentral:rRNA from 1 species